UAGGGAAUCUUCGGCAAUGGGGGGAACCCUGACCGAGCAACGCCGCGUGAGUGAAGAAGGUUUUCGGAUCGUAAAGCUCUGUUGUUAAGGAAGAACGAGUGUGAGAAUGGAAAGUUCAUACUGUGACGGUACUUAACCAGAAAGCCACGGCUAACUACGUGCCAGCAGCCGCGGUAAUACGUAGGUGGCAAGCGUUGUCCGGAUUUAUUGGGCGUAAAGCGAGCGCAGGCGGUCAAUUAAGUCUGAUGUGAAAGCCCCCGGCUCAACCGGGGAGGGUCAUUGGAAACUGGUUGACUUGAGUGCAGAAGAGGAGAGUGGAAUUCCAUGUGUAGCGGUGAAAUGCGUAGAUAUAUGGAGGAACACCAGUGGCGAAGGCGACUCUCUGGUCUGUAACUGACGCUGAGGCUCGAAAGCGUGGGGAUCAAACAGG
rnacentral:rRNA from 1 species